AACGAACGCUGGCGGCAGGCUUAACACAUGCAAGUCGAACGGGCCAUUCGGGGUCAGUGGCAGACGGGUGAGUAACGCGUGGGAACGUGCCCUUCAGUUUGGGAUGACCCAGGGAAACUUGGGCUAAUACCGGAUACGUGCGAGAGCAGAAAGAUUUAUCGCUGAAGGAUCGGCCCUGGUCUGAUUAGGUGGUUGGUAGGGUAAUGGCCUACCAAGGCGACGAUCAGUAGCUGGUUUGAGAGGAUGAUCAGCCACAUUGGGACUGAGACACGGCCCAAACUCCUACGGGAGGCAGCAGUGGGGAAUAUUGGACAAUGGGCGCAAGCCUGAUCCAGCCAUGCCGCGUGAGUGAUGAAGGCCUUAGGGUUGUAAAGCUCUUUCAGUGGGGACGAUAAUGACGGUACCCGCAGAAGAAGCCCCGGCUAACUUCGUGCCAGCCGCCGCCGUAA
rnacentral:rRNA from 1 species